rnacentral:lncRNA from 1 species
UGGAUCAAAGAGUUGUAUGAUGUUUGGUGUAGCCAAAAGAGUGAGUCUGGCUAUGCCUUGGUGGAGCUGAAGCAAUGGUUUUCUCACCUCGCAUUCAACAUGGUUCUUCGAAUGGUCGUUGGGAAGAGACACUUUGGUGGUGAAAACUUAGAAGAUGAGAAAGCACAGAGAUAUGUGAGGGCUGUGGAGGAGUUCAUGCGCCUGUUCGGAGUGUUCACAGUGGGAGAUGCUGUUCCAUGGUUGAGAUGGUUUGAUUUUGGAGGGCAUGAGAAGGCAAUGAAAGAAACUGCGAAAGAGUUGGAUAGUAUUAUAGGUGAGGAGUUAGAGGAACAUAGAAAAAGGAAGGGUUUGGGUGAGAAGGUUGAUGAAGCUCAAGAUUUCAUGGAUGUAAUGAUUUCAUUGUUUGAUGGAACAACUAUUGAAGGGAUCGAUGCAGAUACCAUGAUCAAAUCCACCCUACUGGUAUGAAUGUUUAAUUUACACGUUAUAAUACUUUCUGAAAUGUGAAAUUUUAAGAAAAUUAAACUUAUAAUAAGAAAAAUAUACAUUGACAUUAUAGAACUCAUGAAGUAUUCCGUAGAAAAUAAGUAAAAUUAAAUAUCUUUUCUUGUAAAUUAAAAUUAAGUAUAACCUAAGUUAUUUUUAGUAAUAAGUUUUUCAAAUAUAAUCUUAAUUCAUUACAUGAAAAAUAUUAAAUAAAAACUAAUUUUAAAUACCAAAAUAAUUAGUUAAUAUUUGAUAUAAUUAAAGAUCAUUUUAUAAAUUAAAAAAAAUUAUUGAUAUCUAAAUUAUUUUUUUUUAUUAAUAAAAAAUUAUAAAAUAAUUUUUAAAUUGGUAUCUAACCAUUAACUACCAAGGUUUUAGCUACUUACUACUUUAUAUUCUAAAUUAGUCUCUAUUAGUCUUUUAGAGACUAGUUUAUAAUAUAAAAUAUUAGUAACUAAAACCUAAAUAACUAAUUUAGAUAUCAAUUUAGAAACUAUUUUAUAAAUUUUUAUUAAUAAUAUAAAUUAUCUUAGAUACCAAUAAUUUCUUAGUCUCUAAAUAAAUAUCUAAUUUAGUCAAAAUAGUGACUAAUUAUUUUUUAUCUUUAAAUUGGGUUGCUAUUUAAUGAUUUUUUCUAGUGAUUUUCUUCACUUAAAUAUUUUUGUUGGGUAACUUAUUUGUUUUGUAGGCAGUGAUUGUAGGAGGAAUUGACACAAACAAUACAAUUCUUACAUGGACAAUAUCUUUGAUUUUAAGGAAUCCUUUGGUGUUGGAAAACGUAAAAGAUGAACUAGACACUCAUAUUGGAAAAGAGAAAUGCGUAAAUGAGUAUGAUAUAAGUAAGUUAACAUAUCUUCAAGCCAUAGUCAAAGAAACUUUAAGAUUGUAUCCUCCUACUCCUCUUUUUGGACCUCGUGAAUUCACAGAGAAUUGCACUUUAAGAGGCUAUAAUAUAAAAAAGGGAACCCGACUAAUCCCAAAUCUUUGGAAGAUUCACACAGAUAGUAAUGUUUGGGAAGACCCUUUGGAGUUCAAACCAGAAAGGUUUCUUACAACUCGUAAAGAUAUCGACGUCAAAGGUCAUCAUUUUGAACUAUUACCAUUUGGAGGUGGUAGAAGAAUAUGUCCAGCAGUAUCCUUUGGCCUUCAAAUGGUGCAUUUCACUCUUGCUAGGUUUUUGCAUUCCUUUGAAAUUUUAAGUUCAUCACCUGAUCCUAUUGACAUGUCUGAAACAUGUGGAUUAACCAACACUAAAGCCACUCCACUCGAUAUUCUUAUUAAACCACGUCUAUCUCUUAGUUGUUAUGAAAACAACCAUUCCUUGUCUUAGCUACAUGAUUACAUUGUAUUUUUGUUCAAAGUACUUUUUUGUUCCUACUAAAUAGUUCAAAGUAUUAUAGUUCCUCUAUUAUAUAUUUGUAUUUUUGUUCAAAAUUACUUGUAAUAUUGGUAGUUUAUCUUUGUAAAUUUUGUAACUCUUUCAACUAUAUAAUUGAUGAAAGUAUGAUUACAAUUUAUAUUCUCACCAUUUUAACUUUUUUUAUUCCUUCUUUAUUGAUAUUUUCUUUAUAUUUUUCAAGUCACUCUUAUUGUUGUCUUGUUAAAAUUGAAGUUUGUAUUUUUACCUAUUUAUGUUUAAUUCAUUUUCAUGUACUAGAUACUACAAUGAUAAUUUGCUUAUUUGGCUUUAUUUCAAACAUCAAUGUUUAUCGACUCAAGACAUCAUAUAUGUCACUUCAGGGGUGAUCCAACCCAUAUUCAAAAGACUAACACAACCCUACAACACCACAUAUUCCAGACAGUUACACGCUUAACUCGGCCCAACAUCAACCGCAUACAAACUAAAACGAAAAAAGGCAAAUCAGAUGAUCAAGACACCCAUCAGAAUAAGAGAAACAAGCAACGGGAUUUAGAAGUAAUCCAAGACCAAACCUUCAAUUGAGCCAAAGAGAAGAUCUCCGAGUAAUCCAACACUCCACCUUUAAAAAUAAUCUUAUUCCUGUGACACCAAAUCUUACUAACCACCACAAGCCAAAUACUCUUCAGCCCUAAGUUGUCCGACUCAGGAGCAUUACACAACUUGAACUGCUAAAAUUGAGAGGAGUUAAGGGGGACAACUGACGAAAUGCCUAACCACACGUAACAAAGAUUCCAAACCAACCAUACUAUUCUACAGUAAAAAAAAUAGAUGAUUUAACUCCUCCUCUUUUAACCCGCAAAAGCAACAGGGAACGCUUCUGAGCUUUAUCCCUCAUCUAAAUAAAUUAACCUUAGUGGCAAUCUUAUUGUCCAACACUCUCCUAGCGGUAACAUGAGCUGAAGGCAUAGCCUUAAUCCUCCAAAAUAUUUUGAACAUCUUCGUACAAUCCCCCUUAGAAUCCCCUCUUAGAAUCCCAUAAGCCGAUUUCACUGAGAACUCUUGGAACUUACCGUCUUUCCAAACCCACCUAUCAACUUUUUCCAAGAUAGGACACAAGACAUGCACUACCUCUAGAAGUUGUCUAACCUGAUCCUCCUCCCAAUCAAAAAGACUUCUCCACCACGCCCAAAGGCCACUCCUAAACAUUGUUUGUCCAAAACCCACAAUGCUCCAGCAACACAUCUUUAUCGACACAAAGAGAAAAAAGCCUUGGAAACUUAUUCUUCAAGAUAUCAUUACCUACCCACUGAUCCUCCCAUAAUUUGAUACUCUUCCCAAUACCAAGUUCCCACUUAAAUUUGUCAUCGAAAUUACUUUCCCAUUUCUCCAGCUUCCAAAUCUUCUUCAAAUCUUUCCACCAAAAGGAAACAUUAUUGUUUGAGCUGUCCUCUUUCAGCUUUCUCCAGCCUUCAACCUCCUUCCACAAAUCUCCCUCAAAUCCCAACCACCAAAUUCAUUUACCCAACAAAAUCAAUUUAAAAUCCUUAAUAUUAACUACUCCAAACCCGUCGCUUCACUUAAUUUAUUUUCAUUUACUCAAUGCCACGAUCAUAAUUUGGAUACAAUACUGUUCCAAACAUUAAACUCUACUCGUUUACUCAAAACAUUACACAUCUCAACCUUAUAUUGUUGUAUUUUAUCAAUAAUUUAAAUUAUUACCUUAUACAAUUUUUCAAAUUCAUCAACCAAUAAAAAAUAUUGUAUUAUAUUUGGAUCACCUCCUUUAUUAACCAUUCAAAAUUAAAUUAUUUAUUUAAAAAUCUAAUACAAGAAAAUCAUUAAAUAGAAACCAAUUUUAAAAACAAAAAAAUAUAUUGACUAAAUUAGAAAAAAAAUUACAUACUAAAAAUAUUAUUGGUUUCUAAAUUAGUUUCUAUUAUUGAUAAAUAGUUUUUAAAUUGUUAUCUAAUUAGCUACCAAGUUUUUAAGUACCAAUUAUUUAUAUUUUAAAUUUGAUAGUAAACAUCUUGGUAGCUAAUUAAAUAUCAAUUUAAUAAUUAUUUAUCAAUAAUAGAAACUAAUUUAAAAAUCAAUAAUUGUUUUAGUCUCUAAAAUGUUCACUAAUUUAGUCAAUAUAGUAACUAAUUAUUUUUGUCAAAAAAAUUGAUUUCUAUUUAAUAAUUUUUUUUAGUGAUCGUUUAUCGUAUUUAUUUAAAUUUCAUUUCAAUCUUUUUUGAAUGAUCUAUUUAACAGCUGAAACAUUGUAAGUGAUUCUAAUAGUCUCAACCAUAUUCAUAUUAAAUUAUGUUUGUCUCCGAAAGUUAGCCAUUCUUGUAUUCUGUUACCUACACCAACAUGGUGCGUAUUAUUCAAUAAUAAACCAAAUAAUAUAUUUUUAAAAAUUUGGUGCAUAUAAAAGCCGUGUGUUACAAUUUUAUUAGUAUUAUAGACACUCAAGUAUUUUUUUAAAAAAAUUAUUAAUAGAUAUAGACUAUCUAUAUAUUUUUUUUUGUUAAUAUUCAAGGAUGCAGGUAGCUCUAUUAUGUGUCUCAUGCAGUUGUUUUUUUGUGAGGUUUAGGAUAGUGUUAUUUAUCGUAAGCUUUUUUCUGGUUCUGUAUACGGGUUGGGAUACUCUGAAGUAUCUCCUAAUUUAUUUUAAUUUUUUGGUGAUAAAAAAAAUAUGGAUUUUAGUUUAAUUCUUUAUAUUUAAAAAAAAUAUUAAUAGAUAUAAACUAUCUAUAUAUAUUUUUGUUAAUAUAUGAGUUUUAGUCUAAUUCUCUAUAUUUAUUUGUAUUUUAUUUUAUUUUUUUAAUAAUUUUUUUAUUUAAUGACAUAUUAUUGUUAUUAUUUAAAAUAUGAUGAAAUGUCAAGUUUCAUACAUAUGUUAAACAUAAGAUUUUUUUUAAAAAAAAAACUGUUAGUUGUAUGAAUAAAGAAAAUGAAUUCGGUAUGUAUAUUGUUUGAUAGUAAUCUAUGGGAGCCGCAAUAUCAACUAUUAAAAUAUCGUUUUGGUUUGAUUUAAUAUUUCAACAUUUUAAAGUUUUACAUGUAACAUAGUUUAAUCUUUUACUUAUUUUACUGAGUAUUUUCAAGAAAAGAAAUGUAGUUAACAAUAUAUUUUUAGAAAUCAAAUUGAUACAGGUUCAUCUUUCAAGAUCUACUAUAUAUCAAAGAUAAAAUUACUAAAACAAUAUAAAAUAUUCUAUGUUUAUAAUUUUUUAUUAAAAAUAAAUAAAUUUGGAUUUUUUUUUAAAUGUUUACGGUUUACCUGUAAUUUUAUGGAGUGUUUUGUCCAAUUCAAUGAUAAGGAUCUCCUUUAUCCUUUUAUUUAUAGUCACCUUAUUUAUUUCAAACCUUAUCUUCAAAAAUUGAGGACAAAAUUUAGCAGUGCACCUUUAUCUGUACUGUUGAAUUUUUUGGUCAUUGAAGAUAACACAUCAAACUCAACUCCUUCACACAUUGUUGCAUAUGAUUAGAAGCCAAAUUAAUCACGGCUUUGUGUGAAGCUUUUGUUAUUUUCAAUGCGAUCAAACAGAAAAAGACGUGUUCUGAUGGAUUAUUUUAAAUCAACAUUUCGAUAUUUUACAUGGUUAGGGUUCUUAUUAUUUGUAGUCUUGAAUUUUUUUUACGGGGUAGUUCAACCUGUAUACAAAAAUUACCUUACCAAAUUUUUAACAAGAAACAUCUACAAAGAAAUAAAAAAAAAAAAACAUAAAUGAAUCAUCCUCAUGCAUAUCAAAGAAUUCAGAACCCAGUUAGAGUAAGAAAAGAAAGCGCAACUGGACUUUGCAAAAAUUCAAGACCAAACAUUUCUUGCAUCAAAACAAACAUUUCUACCGCAUCUAUCACACCCCUAUUAAAAAUGACGGUCUAUAGUAUAAUUAGAUAGUCUCUUAUGAUCUUAUUUAUUAGGUGUUUAUGUUAGGUUUCAAUACGAUUUUAUUUAUCCAAUUUGAAUAAAUACUAAACCUAUUGCUAUUAAUUUACCAAAUGGUCAUCAAACUAUUGCUUCUCAAACUAGAACUAUGAAAUGCAUAGUUCCAAAAGUCGUGUUCAUGUAGAAACAACAACUCCUUCCAUUUUUUUCCACACCCGUUUAGGAAGGUUUUGGAUUUAUAUGAAAAAGUUUCAAAUAUAUAGCUUUUUUAUUUUGUCUCCAUGGAGAGAAAGUGAGACUCACCACAGCAACGAAUUCUGAAACGUAGUUAUCAAAAAGUUUUCAAUGAACUCAAAACAGGAGCACAAGGUUGCAAGAUUUAGGGUACAUUCAAGAAAGAUUUCCACAUUAUUUAUUAAAAAAAUUAUUGAUUUUUUUAAAAGUUCUUUAAUUUAUUAAAAAGUUUAUUUUAAAUCAUGUUGUAGAUCUCACAUCGACUAAAAAUUAGGACAUUUCAUUAUAUAUAAGUGGGUGUAACCUCACCUCAUAAGCCGAUUUUAAGAGGUUGAGUUAAGCUUAAAGUCCACUUCGUAAUAUGGUAUCAGAGUCAUUUUGAGCUUAUCCUAACUAGUGUUUGUUGGGCUUAUCAGGGCACCCGCUAUCGGACCGUUAUCGGAUCACCCAUAAUAUGUUAUCCCGCACACGACCUGUCACUCUCGGCGUGAGAGAGGUGUGUUGAAGAUUUCACAUCGAUUAGAGAUUAGGAUAUUUCAUUGUAUAUAAAUGGAUGCAAACCUCACCAUGAGCCGGUUUUAUGGAGUUGAGUUAGACUAAAAAUCCACUUCGUAAUAAAUCGAGUUCUCCAUAAGCUACCGAAUUUGGAUUUUGAAUAUAAAAAAAAAUAAUUAGAAUAAAAGGUUUACUUUGACAGAAACUAAUUAUUAAUUAAUGAGUAUAUACUUCAUAUAUUUGUCAUGAGAAGAAACUUAUAUACUAAGCACCUAAUUACUUGACUGAAGGCUAAAGCUAGAAGAUUCAACACAAGACCCCUUAACCUUCCCACUUUUAUAAUUUAAUUAUUAAUAUCAGUUGCAUUCUUAAGCUUGGAGAAGACAACCAAUAUCAAGCUAUUAAGGUCUCUUUUAUGUUCAUAUAUAAUACAAAUUCUGAUUUUGAAAAGUUCUCCAUGUGAGCAAGUGGAGAAGUGUGGCCAAGUUUCUAAGAAGUCUUUAUAAGACUUUCACAUCAUCACUUACAAUAAUCAAAUAACGUAAUAAUUCUCUAUUAUCCAAACCCUUUUCAAUAAAAAAUAUUUAUUUAUCAAUUUAUAUUAAUUAUAAUAUCAUUUUAUAUUAAUUAUAAAAAAAUAUAUUCUUUUAUUACGUGACUACAAUUAAACAAAUUAACAAGAUAAAUAAAAAUCAUGUCAAAAAAUUAAACGAAAAGAAACUAAUUUCUAAAUUUAUAAAUUUUGAAUAUUCAAUAAAUAAUUAAUAGAAAUAAUUAAAAAUAUUCAAAUUUCUAAAAUACUUAAAAGAUAAUUACAUUUAUUUGAAAAAUUCUUCCUCUCUCAGUACACGUGUUUUGAAAAAAAUCCAACUUAUUUUAGUUUCUUGUAUAAACUUAUCUGGCAUCUUUGGUUGAGUUCACGACAUCCAUUAACUUUUCACAUCAAACAAAAAGAUUUAUGGAAAAGAUUUUUUGAGACCAUAUGCACUGAAAACAUGAACUUCACAUCAUAUUAUAAUAAUACAAUAAUAUUUUAAAUUAAAAAAUAAAAUAAAAUAUAAUUAGAAUACUAUUUUAUUAAUUUAUGAAGUAUAUAUAUUUAAUAUUAUUUGUUGUACCACCCAUAAUCUAUUUAAGAAUACCACUAGCAUUGGACUUGACAAAGCUCAAAUGGAUUUUGUUCUACACUACUUGAAUACCACUACCAUUGCACUUCUUUCUCUAAUCAUCUUCUGUUUAUUCUUCUAUAAUCCCUUCAAAAAAUUUCAAUCCAAAGAGGCUCCCACAGUUGCAGGAGCAUGGCCAAUACUUGGUCACCUUCCACUGUUGAGUGGUUCAAAGACACCCCAUAGAACUUUGGGUGCUUUGGCUGACAAAUAUGGACCCAUUUUCACCAUCAAAAUUGGUUCCAAAAAGGCUCUGAUAAUCAACAACUGGGAAAUAGCAAAGGAAUGCUUCACCACAAUCGACAUGGUUGUUUCUUCUCGCCCCAAGCUUCUCGCCUCUGAACUCAUGGGCUACAACCAUGCCAUGUUUGGCUUUGCACCCUAUGGUCCCUAUUGGCGCGAGCUACGAAAGAUUACAACGUUAGAAAUCCUUACUACUCGUCGAGUGGAACAGCUGCAGCAUGUUCGUGUCUCGGAACUUCAAAACUGGAUCAAACAGUUGUAUAAUGUUUGGUGCAGCCAAAAGAGUGAAUCUGGCUAUGCCUUGGUGGAGCUGAAGCAAUGGUUUUCUCACCUCUCAUUCAACAUGGUUCUUCAAAUGGUCGUUGGGAAGAGAUAUUUUGGUGGUGAAAACUUGGAAGAUGAGAAGGCACAGAGAUGUGUGAGGGCUAUGAGGGAGUUCAUGCGUCUGUUUGGGGUGUUCACAGUGGGAGAGUUUGUUCCAUGGUUGAGAUGGUUUGAUUUUGGAGGCCAUGAGAAGGCAAUGAAAGCAACUGCAAAAGAGUUGGAUAGUAUUAUAGGUGAGGAGUUAGAGGAACAUAGAAAAAGGAAGGGUUUGGGUGAGAAGGUUGAUGAAGCUAAAGAUUUCAUGGAUGUAAUGAUUUCAUUGCUUGAUGGAACAACUAUUGAAGGGAUCGAUGCAGAUACCAUGAUCAAAUCCACCGUGCUGGUACGUAUGUUUAAUUCACACGUUAUAAUGCUUUGGAAAUGUGAAACUUCAACAAAACUAAACAUAUAAAUACAACAUAAUUCUUCAUUAAAUUUGGUAUUUAGUGUUGAAACACUUGUUGUAGGGGAGAUGAGGAUUAUGGGUAGAAUUAUAUAUAUGGAUGAGGUCUAUGACUGUCUUAUUAUGUUCUAUAGACUCUAUAGGGAGUGGGAACCUUUUGAAUUUUUAUUGGUAUUCUUAAUGUAUUCCUUUUAAUUCAUUUUAUUCAUCAUUGAUAAAAUAAAUUAAAUUUGAAAUAUUUCCUCAGAAACUUACCUUAAAAACAUUACAAAACCCUAAACCAACUUCUCUUACAGAAGUACAGUUUUUUUUUUUUUGGCACAAGAAGUCUAAUUUCUUUCACUUAUUCUUUACACAAGUGUGUUUUAUCGUCUUUACCGUUUAUAUGGGGUUCAUUUGAUAGACAUGAGUGUUUUUUUGGGAGAGUGAGGGAUAUAGUGAUGUUGUGAUUGGGAGAGAAAGGGACAUUUGUGGUGUUGCGUGAAUGAAAAUCCAUGGACCACUUACAAUUUUUUUUUCUGUUUUUCUACUUUGAUUUGGUUUUUGUGAAAAAUAAUGAAAUUUUGAAAAAAAAAACUUGUAAGUUAUACAUCAUUAGUUUAGAAAUUGUUUACUUUUUCGAUGGUGGAAAUUUAUAAUGAUUAUAGAACUCAAGCAAGUAAUCCCUAGAAAAUAAAUUAAAUUAAAUAACUUUUUCUUGUAAAUUAAAAUUAAUUUUAACCUAAAUUGUUUUUAAUAAUACGUUUUCUGAACCUGAUCUUAAUUUUCUUCACUUAAAUAUUUCUCUUGGGUCACUUAUUUGAUUUGCAGGCAGUGAUAUCAGGAGGAACUGACACAACUAAUACAGUUCUUACGUGGGCAUUAUCUUUGAUUUUAAGAAAUCCUUCUGUGCUAGAAAAAGUAAAAGAGGAACUAGACAUUCAUAUUGGAAAAGAAAAAUGCGUAAGUGAGUCCGAUAUAAGUAAGUUAAUAUAUGUUCAAGCUAUAGUCAAAGAAACUUUAAGAUUGUAUCCUCCUGCUCCUACUUCGGGACCUCGUGAAUUCACAGAGAAUUGCACUUUAAGAGGUUAUAAUAUAAAAAAGGGAACCCGACUAAUCAUAAAUCUUUGGAAGAUUCAUACAGAUAGUAAUGUUUGGGAAGAUCCUUUAGAGUUCAAACCAGAAAGGUUUCUUACAACUCAUAAAGAUACUGACAUCAAAGGCCAUCAUUUCGAGUUAUUACCAUUUGGGGGUGGUAGAAGAAUUUGUCCAGGAGUAUCCUUUGGCCUUCAAAUGGUGCAUUUCAUUCUUGCUAGUCUUUUGCAUUCUUUUGAAAUUAUAAGUUCAUCACCAAAUCCUAUUGAUAUGACUGAAAUCUUUGGAUUAACCAACACCAAAGCCACUCCACUUAAUAUUCUUAUUAAACCACGCCUAUCUCUUAAUUGUUAUGAAAACAACUAAGCCUUUUAUUAGCUACGUGAUUACAUUGUAUUUUUGUUUCUACUAAAUAAUUCAAAGUACUUGCUAUGUUUGUAGUUCCUCAAAUUGUAUAUUUGUAUUUUCGUUUAUCAGUACUUGUAACAUUUGUAGUUUACUUUUGUAAAUUUUGUAACUCUUUUAAAUAUAUAAUUGAUAAAAGUAUAAUUACAGCGUAUAUUCUCACCAUUUUAACUUUUUUAUUCUUUAUUGAUUUUUUUUUUCUUAUCAUUCUUAUUGUUGCGUUGUUAAAAUUUAAGUUUGUAUUUUUGACUAUUUUUGUUUAGUUCAUUUUCAUAUACUAGAAAUAACGAUGAUAAUUUGCUUAUUUUCUUUUUUUCAAACAUCAAUGUUUAUCGACUCAAGAAAUCAUAUAUACCAAAUUUAUAUUAUUUUAGUUUUGAACAAAUCAACUUACUAUCUACUUAAUUUUUCAAUUUUUUCAACCAAUCAAAUUAGUUCAUCUUCAACUUAAUUAAUCCUACCUCGUUAUCAAUAUCUAAAAAUAAGAAUUUUCAUCAUCUUAAUAUCAAAUAAAAUUUGUUAACAUUUUUAGUUUUUUUUUUAAAGUUAUUGAGCUUUGUUUGUUUGGCCCAACUUUCUUUUUCUGUUUCAACUAGAUCUUAGUCUUUUUCUUAUAUAUACACAAUGUAUUUUACUCUCUAAUACACACAUAAAUAAGAAUUUCUUUUGUAUUUUUUUUCUCUGCGUUUCUCUCUUUUAUGCUUAAGUCGUUGUCUUCUUUUCAUUUGCAAUUAGGGUUCAUUAGAACCUCCCUCUCUCCAUUGCGAUUACGUGCGCUCCAUUUGAUGCACCACAUCAAACAAGGAAUAUUCAUCUUCAUUAACUGUAAUAUGGUAUCAGAGCUCUUCAUUCGAAGAGCUCUGUUGCGCUUCUCUAUGAUCUUUAUUUCCUCCUUUGUUGUUCUUGGUUAUCUUUUCUAUUAUCUUUCAAAAUCUUGAUUGGGUUUCAAAAUCUCUUAGACAAUGUCUAAUGAAAACCAUAGUCUUCAUAGUCUUAAUAGUAGUCACACUAUUACAUGCAAUUUUUGUGGUAAAUACGGUCAUACUGAGGUUGUUUGUUUCGCAAAGUGGGUUUUCCUUCAGGUAAUGUUAAAACCUCAAAGUUUUAUUCUACUAGAAAAGUCUACACUUUUUGUAAUCGUCUAAAAAAGUAUGGGUUUUCUCCUGGCUACAAAUUCACCAAUUGGACAUCCCAAGGCAAUAGUACAAUUACUACUGAUACUUUUUUUGAACUUUUUCCUAAAGAACAGGAUGUAAAGGGAAUUCAACUUACAUCACAAUAGUGCCAAUUAGAUAUCAAUUUAAUAACUAUUUAUCAUUAAUAGAAACUAAUUUAGAAAUUAAUAAUUUUUUAAUAUCUAAAAUGGUCUCUAAUUUAAUCAAUAUAGUAACUAAUUAUUUUUUGUCUCUAAAAUUAGUUUUUAAUUAAAUAUUAUUUUUAGUGCUUGUUUAUCGCAUUUAAAUUUCAUUUCAAUUACUCAAUAAUAAACCAAAUAAUAUAUUUUUAUAAAUUUGGUGAAUAUAAAAGUUAUGUGUUACAAUUUUAUUGGUAUAAUAGACUUUUAUCUAGUCUUUUCUUAAAACUUUUUAUUAAUAGAUAUAUACUAUAUAUGUAUAUUUUUGUUAAUAUAUGGAUUUUAAUCUAAUUUCCUAUAUUUACUUGUAUUUCAUUUUUUUUAAUAAUAUAUUUUUUAUGUAGUGAUAGAUUAUUGUUAUUAUUUGAAGUGUGAUGUGAAGUUCCAAUGUCUGAUAUGAGAUUUUUUUAUUUUUUAUUUUAAUUUUUGUGUUAGUUUAAUGAAUAAAAAAAAUGAAUUCGGUAUGUAUAUUGUUUGAUAGUAAUAUAUGGUAGCCGCAAUAUUAACUAUUAAAAUAUCAUUUUGGUUUGAUUUAAUAUUUCAACAUUAUUAAAGUUUUACAUGUAAGAUAUUUUAAUCAUUUACUUAUUUUAAUGAUAUUUUCAAGAAAAAAAAUGUAGUUGACAAUAUAUUUUUAGAAAUCAAAUUGAUACAGGUUCAUCUUUCAAGAUCUACUAUAUAUCAAAGAUAAAAUUACUAAAAGAAUAUAAAAUAUCCUAUGUUUAUAAUUCUUUUAUUAAAAAUAAAUAAAUUUGGAUUUUUUUUAAAUGUUUACGGUUUACCUGUGAUUUUAUAGAGUAUUUUGUCCAAUUCAAUGAUAAGGAUUUUUUUUUAUGAUCAAAGAAUAAAUAAAAUAAAAUGAGACAUUUCAUGAGUGUUUCAACCCUUAUACAAAACAUUCAAAACAGGUUUCCUAGCAUCCUAUCAACCAAAGAUCCAACAAACAUUACACUACAAACCAAAACAAUAAACUAGUUCAAGAUAUAGAAACCUAACAAAUACAGUUACAUCAAUCCACCAAAGAGAUCACACCAACUAAACAAGAUCUUUGUCAGCAGGCUGAAGUGCCAUAACCAAGUGUCGAACUCAAUAAAACCGAUCCUACAAGAAGAAAAUGUAAACCAAAAUUAGUUCACCAAAGAGAUCACACCCUUAGUAUAGGACACAACAUCCAACACCUAAACAAUAACUUUGCAAUAGACUGAAGUACGCCAAAUAAUCAAUUGUCAACAUCAACAAACCGAUCCUACGAGGAGGAUAAAUAAACUAGAGAUAUCCUGCAAAAAGCACACAACAACUUCCCAAACUGGAUAGAUCAGUAACCAAAAACACCACAUAUCAAUCUCCCAAAGCUCAAACACCAUAAAGAUUCAAACACCAAACCGAGAAGCAUACAUCAAAAACACUUCCUUUACCGCAGCAAUCCAGGAACAAAAUCAUCAACCUGACCCUGCCAAGUAGAAAAGACCAAAAAAACCUGCACAAACACAUUAUAUCUUUCAAACCUGCAGGAAGAAAUCAUAAGCCAAAUAGACAUGCACACAACACAAACACCUCCCAAACGCAACUCAAGGACACACACCCCAAUCCAACCUUACCAGAUGGGAGGACCUGAUGAAACCUGCAGAAAACACACCACUACUUCCGAUUCCGAUUCCGAUUCCGAUUCCGAUUCCGAUUCCGUUUAUGAGGAAAAGCAUUUAUCUAAAUUGAGGACAAAAUUUAACAUUGCACUUUAAUCUGUAUUGUUUAAUUUUUUGGUCAUAGAAGAUAACAAAUCAAACUCACCUCCUUCACACAUCGUUGCAUAUGACUAGAAGCCAAAUUAAUCACGGCUUUGGGUGAAGCUUUUAUUAUUUUCAAUGCGAUCAAACAGAAAAAGACGUGUUCCAAUGGAUUAUUUUAAAUAAACAUUUCGAUAUUUUACCAAAUCUAGAUGGUUAGUUUUCUUGUUAUUUGUAGACGGUUUAUCUUAGUGUUUUUAUUUGUAGAUAUGGUUAGAUGCUUUGUAAUUCAUCUUUAAAUCUUAUCAAUAACUUUUUUUUUUUAGCUUUUAUUUAUGAAAAAAAUCUUCGAUUUUCUUUUGCUUUUGUGACAUAGUAAAACAAAAACAUCUAUAAAUGUGUGAAACCAUGGGCAUAGUUCCAAAAGUGGUGUUCUUGAACAAACAGCAACUCCUUCCAUUUUUUUCCACACCCGUUCAGGACAGUUUUGGAUUUACGUGAAAAAGUUUUAAAUAUAUUUUUAUUUUGUCUCCAUAGAGUUAGAAAGUGAGACUCACGACAGCAACAAAUUCUGAAACGUAGUUUUCAACGAACUCAUAACAGGACCACUAGGUUGCGUGAUUUAGGGUACAUUCAAGAAACAUUUCCACAUCAAUUAUUUAAAAACUUAUUAAUUUUUCUAAUUAAGCUCUUUAAUUUAUUAAAAACUUUAUAUUAAUCAGUUCCUCGUAUAAGCUACGAUUUUUUUUUUCUAUUGUUAUGCAUAAAGAUUGGAUCACUCGUGAAUGAUAAAAAAAUUAAAAAAUUCAGAUUUUGAAUAUAAAAAAAAGUUAAUUAGAAUAAAAUAUUUUACUUUGACAGAAACUAAUUAUUAAUUAAUGAGUAUAUAUUUGUUAAUGAAGUAGUUUACUUUAUAUAUUUGUUAAUUACUUGAAGUAAGAAAAACAGUCUUUAUUAUAUAAAAAAAAGUUAAACUUCUUUUAAAAGUGAGAGAUAAGUUUGAGUGAUUUGAAAUGUUUUAUUAAGUAAACUCCACAUAACCCAAUAACCUAUGAAUUUGAAGUAAUUAAAAAUAUUCACGUUUAGUUCUAAUAAUUGUUUUUAUCAUGAGAAGAAACUUGAUAUACUAAGCACCUAAUUACUUGAGUGAAGGCUAACUCUAGAAGAUUCAACACAAGACCCCUUAACCUUCCCACAUUUAUAAUUCAAUUAAUAUCAAGCUAUUAAGGUUAAUCUCUUUUAUGUUCAUAUAUAAUACAAAUUCUUUUUUCAAUAUUACUUCAGGAAUAUUCAACUAUCUUGCAUACCCUUUUUUCUGUAUAGUGGAAAUUUUUGACUGUUUUUUUUCUGACAUUGAAAGAUUCUACAUGUGAUCAGCAAGUGGAGAAGUGUUACCAAGUUGCUCAAAAGCCUUUAUAAGACUUCCACAUCACUUACAAUAACCAACCAAGAUAUAGGUAAUAUUUCCUUAUUAUUUAUCGAUUUACAUUAAUUAUAAUACAAUUUUAUAUUAAUUAUAAAAAAAUUAUAUUUUUUAAUAAGUGAAUAAAAUUAAACAAAGUGACAAGAUAAAUCUAAUCAUGUCAAAAAAUUAAACGAAAAAGAAAACCAAGUUAAAAAUUUAUAAAUUUUGAAUAUUCAAUAAAAAAUUAAAAGUAUUGAAAUUUAUAACAUACUUAAAGAUAAUUACAUUUAUUUCAAAAGUUCUUCUUCUCAGUACACGUGUUUGAAAAAAAUCUUUGACUUCUCCGACAUCUUUGACUGAGUUCAUCACAUAUCCAUUAGACAGAGUUCUUAUGCCACAAGAGUGGAUGAAUUAAUCUUUAUUAAAUAUUUUAAUAAUUUUAUUAGUUAAUCUAAUAAUAAAAUUAGUAAUUUAAUUUACUUUGAAUUUUUUUAACAUAUAUUUAAAUUACUAAUAUCAAUUAAUAAUAUUAACCACACGUUUAAAUCAACAAUUUCACUUUAUAAUUUAUUGUACAAAAAAUUUUAGCUAACAUUUUAAAUUUCAUAUUAAAACUAUUAUAAAGUAUGAUUUAAAUUAGUAAUCAUUCACAAAUUUACAAUUCACUGCAUAAUAAUUUAAAGUUUUAACAUUUUAAAACUUAAGCUUAUAUGUUUUAAAUAUUUUUAUGUUAGCAUAAUUUGAAAAUAAUUAUUCAUUAGUAUUAUUGCUGAGAGUUACAUUUUACAAUACUUUUAAUAACAUUAAAAAGUUAAAAAUAGAUAUAAUUAAUCAUCUUUUGGUCAACGUCCAAAUUUGAGUUAAGAGAAUAUUAUAAAAUGAUUUUUCGAACAAGUGUAUUAAGUCUAAAAUAUUAUAAAAUGAUUUUUCGAACAAGUUAAAGGAGUAAUGUAAGUUAAACAGAUAAUUAAGUCUAAAACAUUAGAAAUAUUAAAUUUAUAAAAUAGCUAAAGAUAAUUAUUUUUAAUUUAUAAUUAUAUAAUUACUUAGUCUUUUGAAAAGUUGUCUUUCCCUCUGAAGCAAUGAAUGAUCUAUUUAACAACUCCUACCUCCAAACAGUAGAUACACUAAACUCCUUCAAAUGGAUUUUGUUCUAAGUUACCUGAAUACCACCACCAUUGGACUUGUUUCUCUUAUCAUCUUCUCUUUCUUUUUCUAUGGUCUCUUCAAAUUUUCUCAAGGGAAAGAAGCUCCCACAGUUGCAGGUGCAUGGCCAAUACUUGGUCACCUUCCAUUGUUGAGUGGUUCAAAGUCACCCCACAGAACUCUGGGUGCUUUGGCUGAAAAAUAUGGACCCAUUUUCACCAUCCAACUUGGUUCCAAAAAGGCUCUGAUAAUCAACAACUGGGAAAUAGCAAAGGAAUGCUUCACCACAAUCGACAUGGUUGUUUCUUCUCGCCCCAAGAUUCUCGCCUCUGAACUCAUGGGCUACAACCAUGCCAUGUUUGGCUUUGCACCUUAUGGUCCCUAUUGGCGCGAGAUACGAAAGAUUACAACGUUAGAAAUCCUUACUACUCGUCGAGUGGAACAGCUGCAGCAUGUUCGUGUCUCAGAACUUCAAAACUGGAUCAAACAGUUGUAUAAUGUUUGGUGCAGCCAGAAGAGUGAGUCUGGCUAUGCCUUGGUGGAGCUGAAGCAAUGGUUUUCUCACCUCGCAUUCAACAUGGUUCUUCGAAUGGUCGUUGGGAAGAGAUAUUUUGGUGGUGAAAACUUGCAAGAUGAGAAGGCACAGAGAUGUGUGAGGGCUGUGGAGGAGUUCAUGCGUCUGUUUGGGGUGUUCACAGUGGGAGAGUUUGUUCCAUGGUUGAGAUGGUUUGAUUUUGGAGGCCAUGAGAAGGCAAUGAAAGCAACUGC